CCUACGGGAGGCAGCAGUGGGGAAUAUUGCACAAUGGGCGAAAGCCUGAUGCAGCAACGCCGCGUGAGCGAUGAAGGCCUUCGGGUCGUAAAGCUCUUUCCUCAAGGAAGAUAAUGACGGUACUAGAGGAGGAAGCCACGGCUAACUACGUGCCAGCAGCCGCGGUAAUACGUAGGGGGCUAGCGUUAUCCGGAAUUACGGGGCGUAAAGGGGGCGGAGGUGGUUUGUUAAGUCAGAGGUGAAAGGCUACGGCUAAACCGUAGUAAGCAUUUGAAACUGGGAAACUUGAGUGCAGGAGAGGAGAGUGGAAUUCCUAGUGUAGCGGUGAAAUGCGUAGAUAUUAGGAGGAACACCAGUUGCGAAGGCGGCCCUCUGGACUGUAACUGACACUGAGGCACGAAAGCGUGGGGAGCAAACAGGAUUAGAUACCCGAGUAGUC
rnacentral:rRNA from 1 species